AGGGUGGUAGGGAUACGUACCGCCUCUGCUUCGCCUCUGAUUGGUUAGGGUUAAGGUUAGGGUUAGGGUCCCUACCAGAGUGGUAGAUAUAACAGAGUGGCGACACUUCCAUUGGACUCCGUUGUAGCGCCUACUUCCGGGGUAUGGAGCCUCGAAUAGUUCCAAACAACCAUUUUACGGCGUAGGAGACCGUUCAUUUCCAUUGCUGGCGGCCGAGUAACUUCUGAGAAAUUAGUCUGACUGCUGAUCCUGUUGGUGGAUGCUGUUGGUGGCUGCUGGUGGUGGCGGCUGACGACGUUUGCUGAUGGUGGUGGCUGGUGCUGGUGUUGGCUGCUGGUGGUGGCUGCUGGUAGAUGCUGCUUGUUGUGACUGCUGGAAUAAGAGGAGACUGGGGGCUGCGGAUGGUGGGCCAGGAAUGGAGAGGCCAAAUACAUCCAUGGCAAGCAGUAAGCCAGUUGGCAGUGGCCUAGAUGUUAUGACCUCAGCUCAUGGCAUGAGGGAAGGUUGCUGUCCAGACCCAUGGCCUCUCUUUCCAGCUGUGCCACUACAUUGGAGGACUGCAUGAGGGAAUCACUCGUCUGAGAACGGAACAGCUGCUCCACGUUCUGCAGGAGAGUGAACACCUCAUCGGAUGGACGGUGGUAGAGGACACAGGACUCGGUCUUUGUCAUGUCAGGUGGUGAUGGGUCUACCAGCUGCUCCACUCUCACAACCUCAGAAGCACUGCAGCUGCUUUUCUGGGUGUCCAGGAAGUCCGCCAAGUGGUCUGAUGCAUCAUCCAGAUCUUGCUGGACCUCCAGAAUUGUUGUUGUGGCCAUCACCAGUCCAGUCUGGACUGGUUUCCAGCUGCCCUGGGGACCAAUCUUCAGGCCCCGAAAAAGAUGGAUCGAGUCGCGGAGGAAGCUGAUGGCCUUUUCAUACUCUUCCAUCUUGAAAUGACUGAGGGCACAAACAACAUUGCGGGAUGACAUGAGGUCAAACCAGUGGUCCAUCUUCUCCAAAAACCAUGUCGUUGUAAGGCUCCAGGACACCUCUGGACAGAUUGGGUGCAAGCUUAAGUGCCAUGCCCUCCUGGAAGGACACCAGAUCCUUUAAGGGGGCAACAGAGACUUCACUCGAUGCCAGCUGCUCCUUUUCCACCACAUCCUGUGGUAUGGUGAUGAUGUGACCACGGACAAUGGCACUCUUCAAGUUCUUGACGAGGCAGUGUGACAUUGCCAAAUAGCCUCCCCGUUCCCAAAUGGAGCUCCACGCCUGGAGUAAUGGACAUCUCAUCUAAGCGUCCGGAUGUUGGGCAGCGGAAUAUGCAUUCGCUGGAGGGUUUUGUAACCAGUGGUGCCAGCAGUAAAUUUAACCUUUGCCUUAUUAGGUCCUCCACAGUCGCCCCAUCAGUCCCUGGCAGUCUGGUCCCUGGAGCAGCUGGCCCUGGAGCAGAUGGUCCUGGCAAAGUUAUAACUUCACUGUUGACCCCUGACUGACUGGCCCUCGGCACACACAUCCCUGGAUCACCUGCCCCUGGAUCACCUGCCACUGAAUCACCUGCCACUGGCAAUGUGGCCUCUUGAUUUCUCUCUCUGUCUCCUGGCAUGUCCCUUUCAAUGCUCUUCAAAUCCACCUCAAUUUCUCCCUCAAUCUCUGUAAAAAUUACAAGGUAAUGUUGCUGUUAUAUGUAUUUUGCCUUUGCAUUUGCAACUACUGUCAUCUCCAAUGUAGGAAAUGAUUUGAAGUGAAUCAUUUCUGUAAUGUGAAUUAAAUCAUCUGCCACAAUCAGAAACCAAUAAAAUGUAUUAAUGGAUCUACCGGCAAA
ensembl:lncRNA